UCGAACGGCAGCACGGGAGCAAUCCUGGUGGCGAGUGGCGAACGGGUGAGUAAUAUAUCGGAACGUGCCCAGUCGUGGGGGAUAACGUAGCGAAAGCUACGCUAAUACCGCAUACGAUCUAUGGAUGAAAGCGGGGGAUCGCAAGACCUCGCGCGAUUGGAGCGGCCGAUAUCAGAUUAGGUAGUUGGUGGGGUAAAAGCCUACCAAGCCUUCGAUCUGUAGCUGGUCUGAGAGGACGACCAGCCACACUGGAACUGAGACACGGUCCAGACUCCUACGGGAGGCAGCCAGUGGGGAAUUUUGGACAAUGGGCGCAAGCCUGAUCCAGCAAUGCCGCGUGCAGGAUGAAGGCCUUCGGGUUGUAAACUGCUUUUGUACGGGAACGAAACGGUUCUCUCUAAUACAGGGGGCUAAUGACGGUACCGUAAGAAUAAGCACCGGCUAACUACGUGCCAGCAGCCGCGGUAAUACGUAGGGUGCGAGCGUUAAUCGGAAUUACUGGGCGUAAAGCGUGCGCAGGCGGUUAUGUAAGACAGAUGUGAAAUCCCCGGGGCUCAACCUGGGGACCUGCAUUUGUGACUGCAUAGCUAGAGU
rnacentral:rRNA from 1 species